GCAACAGACCUUUUAUCCACAACUCUAAUUCUACCAGAUCCUACAGUAAUCCAUCUGCCAUUCCUAGUACGUCUCUGCGGCAGUGGCUUUGCAGCAGUUCCAGCCUGAGUUUGUUUACCAGAUAAUUUACAAAUCUCAGACUUCAAAAAUACAAUCUCCUGCCACAAUAUAGAGAACUGUCUACAGAUUAGACAGCAUCCAAAUCUCCAAAAA